rnacentral:piRNA from 1 species
UCGGUGUCAGAGAACUCUGCCCGUU